rnacentral:lncRNA from 1 species
GUGCUGGGAACUGACCUCAGUGUGUUGCUCCUCCAGACUUGGGCUACGUUUGCUGUGCAGCUGCGGCUAACCGAGGUGAGCCUGCUGGAGAGGUGAUGGGAACAGCCAGCACAAGGAUGGAGACACUGUGCAGCCGACGCGCAGGAUGGGGCUGCUCGGCCGCGGACAGAGGAGGAGGAGGAGCAGCGCCGGAUCUCUCUUGGUAGUGCCUGUCCUGCUGCCACUGCUGGUUUGGUUUAAACUCCGAAGCCGAUUUCCCACAAAGGUAAUUUUCUGCUUCUCUGACUCAAUUCUAUUCAUCUUUUAGAGGGUAAUUAGUAUCACUUCAGUGUUCUUUUAUGCCCAACUAAUUGCACCUUGCUUCAGGAGUGAAAGUUAAUGCCUCUCCUUUGAGGUUAGCGCAGCAAUAUCUAAUUAGGGACCAGGCCAGGCAGAAAUGUGUACCAGGAGCACCACUGUCUUCGGACUUUGUUUGCACCCGUGGAAACGUUUCCCAUUUUAUGUUUGAGCUGCUUCUGGAUGCUUCAGCUGUGUGGUAAUGAAUCUGCUGCACUAAUGCCGUCUGUACAGUGCCGCAUGCAGCAGCCUCUGCGUCUCUGAGAGCAGCUAGAAGAGAGGGGAUUACACUUCAGCUUUCAUGGAGGCUAAAAGGUCUUGGCAAGCUGGGUCUGCCUGCGCUCAAGUGCCUCGAGGCAGCAGCAGGAGAUGGGUUUCAAGGACACACUGUAGCUGCACAGUUUUCAGAGCAAACAAAAAUAGUGUACUAAGCGUACCACCUGCAUUUCCACCUGUGCAGGAUGCUCACCAGGGUUGUUGGCCUCCUGCGCCGCAGGAGGGGCUGGAUCCCGACUUUGGGACCUGUUUUGUUCCCGCGGGAGAAGCGCAAGCGACUGAAUGCCGGCUGCCAGGCGAUGCCAGGUCCUCUGGCAGGACGCGCCACUGCUGUGCAGGGACACGCGCUCAUCAGCUGUGCCACAAAGGGAGCCGCUGCCCGUCCCCUGCGAAGGAGAUGGAGGGACCUGCACAUGCGACUGUGCGGUCGGAAACGGCAGCGACCAGUCAGGCAGGUGAGAGCCCAGCGGCACCAGCGCACGGGGCUCCGGGAGCAGCUCCCUCCCGGGCACGCGGUGCGGUGGCCCGGGAACUGGGCGCACGCUCCCCACUCUCCCCUCCUCGCUCUGCGCAGCACAAUCCCUCGGCUUUGCCCCCGUGGGGCGGACGCUGCGUGCAAGGGGGUGUUGAGGCGAGUUUGUCCGAGCUGCGGUGGUGGCUGCACGUGGCCGGUGCAUGCACGCACGCUCCCCAGCCAGGCUGCCUCCCUGCCCGGGCACCGCUCUCCCCUCCAUCAGCAGCAAUCAAUGCUUUCAUUACCCCGACAGCCCAGUCCAAGUGCUAG